rnacentral:tRNA from 1 species
GCGGGAGUAUUUCAGUGGUAGAAAGUCAGCUUCCCAAGCUGAAUGUCGCGGGUUCGAAUCCCGUCUCCCGCU